rnacentral:rRNA from 1 species
UACGUAGGGUGCGAGCGUUAAUCGGAAUUACUGGGCGUAAAGCGUGCGCAGGCGGUUUUGUAAGCCAGAUGUGAAAUCCCCGGGCUUAACCUGGGAAUGGCAUUUGGGACUGCAAGGCUGGAGUACGGCAGAGGAGACUGGAAUUCCUGGUGUAGCAGUGAAAUGCGUAGAGAUCAGGAGGAAUACCGAUGGCGAAGGCAGGUCUCUGGGCUGAUACUGACGCUCAUGCACGAAAGCGUGGGGAGCAAAC